UAGGUGCAUGAUGCGGACAACUCAAUACUCACUCCGAGCGUUGUACAUGAUGGGAAACAAACACUAACAUGCACUACCAGCUGACAGCGC
rnacentral:snoRNA from 1 species